AUAUAUAUAUGACACCGCUAUUCGAUACCCAGGGUAUAGAAUACCUUAUUCUGUACCCGAAGCAACCCACCCCACCGUCCCGUGGAGCCGAGGCACGCGGGUUCCCGUCCGGUUUUCCACGGAUCCGCUUGUUAGUUUUUCCUCCCCACGUUGCGGUUUUCCUUCCCCAAGAUCAAAGCUCGGAACCGCUCGCUGGUGUUCGCAGAGGCCGGACAGGAUCUGGCAAUCACCGGCGUCGCUGCCAGAAGCUCCCUCCCCGGCACUUCACGCGAGCGCCGGCGCCCAUGCAAUCCAGGCAAUCAGCCAGACGUGGUGGAGACCAAGCAAUCCUGACCUCUCCCGGCCCUUGCCCGCCAGCGCCAGGCGGAGAGCACGACGCUGGCUGCCGUCGUUCAUCAAGUACCACGCGUCGACGGUUCUGCCAUCCGAGCGCCCCGUGGCCGGAACCUGCGUCCCGUCUUUAGCUUGACAAGAGGCAUCGAGUCCCUCGCUGGAGUACGACGAUCCCUCGCUUCCGCGGAGCCACGAGGAUAAACGUUUGCGUCUCUGAAAGCAGUCAGCAGCAUGCUAGAUUAAAAGCUAGCAAGGGAGACUCAGUAACCAGUCAAACAUGUCGAGCCGGAGGUUGGUUUUUGGAGGUAGGGAGCCGAACGUCGCCUAGCACGAUUCCAUACC